GUCCACACCGUAAACGAUGAUCACUAGAUUUUGGCCGCAAGGUCAGAGUCCAAGCGAAAGUGUUUAGUGAUCCACCUGGGGAGUACGUCCGCAAGGAUGAAACUCAAAGGAAUUGACGGGGGCCCCGCACAAGCGGUGGAGCAUGUGGUUUAAUUCGAUGAUACGCGAGGAACCUUACCUGGGCUUGAAAGUUAGUGACCGUCCCUGAAAGGGGACUUUCCGCAAGGACACGAAACUAGGUGCUGCAUGGCUGUCGU
rnacentral:rRNA from 1 species